rnacentral:lncRNA from 1 species
UUUGAUUAAAUGUCACAGAAAAACCACGCCCAUGUCAAUUUUGAUUGUUACAAAAUGACAAUUUUUUUGAAAAGAGAUAUCAUACCGUAUUAAUAAGGUGGUGUUUGUUUUUUUUUCAAAAGCUCUUCUAGACCUUUUAUGUCUGCAUCGCGUAGACGACCCACAAACUUUUAGUCCUAUAGACUGUUUGUUUUUUAGAAGACCGUACGCAUAAAAAAAUCUGUCCAUCCUCUUCUUGACGUAGAUGUGAACAUAUGUCUUCUAGUCUCUUUCUUAAUCUUUCCACUAAUCUUAAGAGACAAUAAAAAAGCGCAAAAAGAAUAAAAAAAUGAAAAAAAAAACCUAUCAAACCUCAUUCGUGCACCUUUUUUUUUAAUUCAUUUGCCAUGUAAACACUUUGUAAAUAUAUUAUUUUAAUGAUUUUAGCUUUAUAAACUUUAUUUGGUCAAAUAAUUUUUUGGUAUUCAUAUUUUAAAAAACUUUAUGCAUAUUUAUCCGAUGACUUUUUAUAACAGUAAUUAAAAAAGUUAAAUAUACUACAAAACUUAUGAAAGUAUUUUACGAACGUGUUUUUUUUCUUCAUAAAAUGGACAAUUAAUUUGUUAUAUAUAUAUAUAUAUGCUUAUUAUAUGAUAACUAGGCUCGUGCGUGUGAACAAGUCUCCGUUUGCCACCUAGCACGGUAUCUNNNNNNNNNNNNNNNNNNNNNNNNNNNNNNNNNNNNNNNNNNNNNNNNNNNNNNNNNNNNNNNNNNNNNNNNNNNNNNNNNNNNNNNNNNNNNNNNNNNNNNNNNNNNNNNNNNNNAUAUAUAUAUAUAUAUUGAAAAUAAGGUGGUUGUAUUAUUAAAUUACAAUGUUUUUAUAUAAGAAAUAUUGAAAAAGUCUUUUAAAUUAAAAAAAAAAUCAAUUUAUUUAGGUUUUAAUUUAUUUUAGCAGUUUGUAGAUUUUAAAAAACAAACAGUCUUCUUGCAGACUGCAGACGUUUGGUCCAUAUCUUCUACUGCAGAUGUCGUCCGCAGACUGCAGACAUUUUGCUUCUGAAAAACAAACACCAUCUAAGUUUCAAACGCAUAAACAUUUAUUAACAAAAGACAUGUAAACGUGGAUUAUGAACUAAUGACAUAGAUAUACGAUAAGUACUAUAAAGAGGAAAAAGCAUAGUUAAGAUUGACCCAAAUUGUAAUGAUUAUAGUCUUGCUAAUGUAAAUAUUUAAUUAGUUUUUCUUGAUAAUCAUGAUAAAUGAUACUUUUUGACUCAUGAGUGAUGAAUAAACAAUAGUAUAUAUAGAUUUACUAAGACGAAAAAAGACAUGAGUUUUAAUGAUAGAAUAUUAUUGAAAAAAUAAUAAAGAAUAUGAUCAACUUUAAAUUAGUGCCCGGAUAAAAUCGAAGUUUUAGAAAGUGCUGAUUAGUGGCGAUCCUUCAUUUUUUUAUAACUUUAUUUCAAAUUAAUGGUAAUCAUGUAUAAUAAUUAAUAAACUUACAAUACGCUAAUAUACAUUACAAUCAUUUUCAUCCUAUGUGAAAAUAAUUUUUGACAUAUUAUUCGUUUUCAAAUUAUAUAGAUGCAUAGGCAAUAAUAUGUCUUUUAUGUGAAAUAAUGUGUGUUUUUUUUAUGUGAAAACAUGUUUUUUAUAUAUAAAAAUAUAUUUUCACAUAAAAAAAACCUGUUAUGCAAAAAACCUUUUGGACCAAAUUUAUAUAGAAACAUAUUUUUCACAUAUAAAAACCUUUUUAUAACAAAAAUGUUUUGUAAAAAAGGUUUUUAGUAUAAAUAUGAUUUUAUAAAGCAAAAAUAACAUAUUUCGAAACAAAAUUUUGGAAAAAUAUAUGUAAAAAAAACAAAAUUUAAGAUGAAAUUGUAACAAAAUUUUAAAAUAGGGACAAAAAUAUAAAAAUUGGACCAAAUUUAUAACAAAAUUUAAAAUCUGAGAAAAAAAUGUAAAUUUUAAAACUGGGAUGACCUUAUAGCCGGGAAAAAUGAUGAAAAUGAAUAUAUUUACCUGUAUUCGUAUCUUAAUUAAAAAAAUAAUAAUUUAAAUACUUAAUUGAAUAUAAGGUUAAAAAUAUAAACACUUUAUAGAUUUUCCUAUACUAAAUACUAUAGCAAAAUAUGUGGAAUUUGGUAUUUAGUAACUUUGGUCUCACUUUUGUUAAAUUUCUAUUUUCUAUCAUUUUACUUUUUGAAAAUUCGUUUUUACCUCUCGAUUUUUCUACUUAUUAACUUUGGUCCAUCACUUUUGUUAAGUUCUCAAAUUUUCAUCCUUUUUACUUUUGAAAUUGUUGCUUUUACCCCCUUUAACUUUCAACUUUCUAGAUACUCAACUCACUCAGCAUGAAGUAUAAGAAAAAAGAGAAGAGAGAGAGAGAGAGAGAGAGAGGAAGCAGCGGGCUGAAGAACCCACAUGAGACGUCUUCUGGCGGUAACCACCAAGGCGUGGAUUUGUUACCCUAGCCGUCGCACGACUCCGUGCACCCUUGGAGAGUAAUCAGUGUUAAAACACUAAGUUGCUUGAAAUAAGGAAUUUGAAGUUAAAUUGAAAAUUUAAAUGUAGAUACGAAAACACAUCAUCUUGCUAACUUGACAACUUAACGCCAUCUUAAGUGGAUACCAUAGAAUGACCCACGAGUGGCGAAUUUAAAAAAAGAAUCACAUGGUUCCUAAUUAAGUGAAGCCAAUAAAAAAAAUCAACAAUACUUUUGGAGUCGGGUCAGGUCGGCUCAUGUACCUUAAAAGAACUGAACAAGUUCAAUCGGCUCAUGUACCUUGUAACGACCCGUCUCUGGUAUGUUGUUUCCAUGUUAUUUAUUUAGAAGUUUUCAAGAGGGACUCGGGGAGUCUAUAGCCCGACUCGUCGAGUAGAGACGGGAUUUCGAGCACGUGUAAGUCGCCGACUCAACGAGUCCAUAUUCGAGACUCGGCGAGUCCGCCUGCUAGGAAGAAACCCUAAAUCCCCGGGUUUGCUCACUAUUUAAGCAAUGUUAUGUGCCCCAAACUCGCCUCCUUCACCCUCAGAGAGCUUGAGAGAAACCCUAAACCAUUCCUUGUAUGACUAAAGUGUUUUGUGUGGAUUCUUGAAGGAAAAAGAAGAAAGGACCCAAAAAGAGGAAGUGUAGAGCAAAGAUCCAAGGCCAAAGUCAGAGUUCAUUGAGGUAUGUCUCGGAAUUAUUCUGUUUUGUGCUUAAAACCUCCAUUAGAACACCUCUAAGGCUAGUUUAAUGUAUUUUCCAAGCUUUAUAGUUGUAUGGAUGCCUUGUUGGGUCGAGAUAUCCCUAGAUCUGUUCAUUUAGGAGUUUUAGAGCCCUGAUCUAGUGCCUUUUCGAAGUUUCUUUGCUUGAGAACCCUAGAUCUAGCCUUUAUUAUGCUUUUUGAGCCUUUUAAUCUUCAUGGGUGCAUAUGGGCACGUAAAGAUAGAAUCUUUACGUGUUAAUCGAGCUUAGGGAGCCCAGAUCUAUAAGUUUUAUGCGUUGGAUUCAAGCAGAAUCGAGUUUAUAGUAGCUGCAUGCAUGCGACUCGGCGAGUCGUUCUUCCGACUCGGUGAGUCGAGUCGUGAGUCCCCGAUUUUUCCUCUUUUGAGUAAUGCCGAGUGGGGACCAGUGAGUAGUAGAGUGGACUUAGUGAGCUGGAGGUCAGACUCAGUAAUGGAGGGACUCGACGAGUUGUUCAUACAACUCGGCGAGUCCAAGGCAAUCUUCUUAGCUCAAGAACAACUCGUCGAGUUGUUCAUACGACUCGGCGAGUCGGAUGCAGAUAGCUUGAGUUCUAGAAUCGAAAGGAAACUCGUCGAGUUUAUGCCAUACUCGACGAGUAGCAGCGAGUAGGGUUGAGAAGUGAGAAUAGGGACUAGGCGAGUUGGCGGCCCAACUCGGCGAGUCAGGUCAACUGUAGGUUGACUUUGACCAGGAGAGUUGACUUUGACCAGGGGUAAAAGAAUCAUUUUACCCCAAUACAGUGAUUAGUAUUUGAUUGAGUGUGUUUAUGGAAUUGUAGCCGGAGAGAUACCAGAGCAGCAGCAGAUAGCUUCCAGAGCCAUACAUUCAGCAGCCAGUUUACGAGGUGAGUUUCCUACCAGUAGGAACGGGUCUACGACAACAAUGCCGGCCCGUUUAGCUAGCAGUUAGUUCCGGACUUCGGUCCGAAGCAGUAGUUCAAGGUGCUUGAUGUUGUGUUUCGGGCAUGUCUAUGUGUUAUGUUAGCAGAUACGUGUUUAUGUUAUGCUAUGUUCAGACAGUUCCGGAUUUCGGUCCGAUGCAGCUAGUUCCGGACUCCGGUCCGAUGCAGGGGACAAGGUCCCAGUCAGUUCCGGAUUUCGGUCCGAUGCAGACAGUUUCGGACUUCGGUCCGAUGCAGUCAAUUCCAGACUUCGGUCCGAUGCAGUGGGCAAGGCCCAGUAUGUGCUUUAUUUGUUAUUGUGUGGUAUGCGGUAGUUUAGGGGAGCUCACUAAGCUUCGUGCUUACAGUUUCAGUUUUGGUUUCAGGUACUUCCGCAAGUAAAGGGAAGAACUCGGGAUGAUGCAUCGCACACACCACAACUUCAGUUUUUGUCGUGGGAGUUGAUUCAGUUUCUUAGAUAUGUUUUGAUACUGUUGUGACACAUUUUUUCUCACAGUAUUUUAUUAUGUGAUACUCAGUUUUAUGAUCUUUGUUAUAAUAUAAAUGAAAUUAUCGGGUCGUAUUUUUGGGAUGUUUCAAGUACCUUGUGCCACCGAUUAAAAAAAUUUUAAAAACCGAUUGAAAUAUAACUGAAAAAGACAUACAGCUUAACGAAAAACUAGUUGAUUAUUAGUCCAUUGAUAAAGCGGCGAACGCAGAGUGAGAGUCUUUGGCAUGUGGGCUUUCAUUUUAUUAGAACAACUUGUUUAUUUAUUAAUAUUUUGAGAGUGCCGAUUAAGAGUAGUUAACUUUUUAUUAUCAAUCUCAUAAUUUAAAAUAACAAAUUGUCCCUAAUAACUUAUAUUUUUCUCUUUUUAAAGUGGUUUUUUUUUUUAAAAAUAAAAAUAAAAAUAAACUCAAUGUAGGUUCUCUAUUUUUUUAAGACUAAAUUACACAGAUGGUCCCUGUGGUUGGCACGAGAGACCAAAGAUAGUCCUUAUGAGGAAUUUUGGACUUGUAUGGUCCCCGUGGUUCCAAAUUGUUGCACGAAGAGUCCUUAUGACAUACUCCGUUUAAUUGUUGUCGUUUAUUUAAAUCACGUAACCCUCACACGAGGGUAUUUUGGUCUUUUGCUUAUCCCUUCUCUCUCUCAUAUCUUUAUAUGAUCUGCAAAAGAUUUCCCUUCCCUAUAAAAAUUAAACCCCCAUCACUUCCUUCAUUAUUUUUCGUCUCCUCUAUUCUCUCUUCUCUCUUCUCUCUGCUGUGUCUUUCUAAGAAACUUUGCUUAAGAAUGGUAAAUUGUUUUUGUGGAACGCAAGCGGUGAUAGUGACAUCAUGGAUGGAUCUCAACCCAGGUUGUAUGUUUUGGAAAUGUCCUAGCAGUUGCGGUUUCAUUGCCUGGUUUGAUGAGCCGAUGUGUCGAAGGGUUGUGGCUGUCAUUCCAGGUUUGCUAAGAUCCAUGAACAAGCUUCAAGAAUCUCUGCUGCAAGCAAGUUUUGAAGCAAAAAAAGUGAAGAUGAUGCUAGUUUUUAGUUGGGUUUUCUUUUUCAUGUAUGUGUAUAAAAGAUGCUAAUAGUAUUAGUCUGGAGAUGAUGGUUCUUUUGCUUGUGGGUAGAUGAUGGUUCUUUUGCUUGUGGUUAGAAUCAGAUAAUAGUAUUAAUUUGAAGAUGAUUUCGUUUUGUUUGUUUGUGAUGCAAGAAAUGUUCGUAUGUAUGAAUGGAAUGCUUUUUAUUUGGGAAACUUUUAGUCUGCUACCAUUGUAAAAUAUUGGUCAGGAACUUAAUGAGUGUAAAAUAUUGGUCUGCAACUUAAUGAACCGUGCAGAUCCAUUAAAGUAUAAAAUAUGAAAGUGAAAGGUUUUUGUAGGCUUUAGACCAUUGUAGAGCCAUAACAACAUUAGAAAUGUUCAAAAAUAAAAUGCAAACUUUUGCAUAGUCAUAAAGUUCAUUACAUAACCUUAAAGUGCAAAGUCAUAAUACCAAAAAAAUAUCAAAAGAGCUUGCAGACUAAUGUAUCAUAACCAAAAGAACCAUCUUAGUCUAGCACCCUGUGUGAACCAUAAUACCAACAAAAGAUAAAGACACACAAUAACCAACUUAGUCUGACCUUUCUAAGGUACCAAAACAAACAACACAAAAGACCUUUCUAAGGUUCCAUAACAAACAACACAAAAGACAACAAAUCAAACUUUUUCCUUCAUUUUGGAUUUAUCCUUAAGUUUGGUUUUCUCCUUCAUUUUGGGUUUCUCCUUUUUUCCAUCUCCCUGCUUCUUUGCCUUGCUAAGCUUCUUGCCCCCUGCCACCACAUUUCUAACUUCAGUUUGUCCCCCUUGUCCCUUGCAACUCCUAGAGUUGUGACCCUUGUUAUUGCAUUUGCUACAAGUAACUGUAAGGAACUUCUUGGUCAAACUUUUACCUUGAUUAUUUGGUUCUUCAGUUUGAGCUCUCUUUCUCUUCUUUUUUGGUCUCCCCACCUGCAUAAUUAAUAAAUUAUAAAACAGUAUAAACGUAUACUAACUUGUAAAUUGAAAAUUAUUUACCUGUUUAGUAUGCUUAGGAGGUGUUAGUGUUAUGGGGAAAUCUGACUUUGGCCACAUACUUCUUCCAUUGAUAGGUUGAACUUUGUACUUGUACAUUUCAUUCCAUGUGCUUAACCUAUAACAUGGAUGUACCCACUCCUCAAGAGGUGGGACAUUUUUUCCCAGUGCCUGCAACUACAAUUCCUGUCCCUCCAAUUAACCACAAAUUGUUCCCCCAUUGUCCCAGUAACUUGAGUCUUAUCAGCACCAUUAAAUAUGCAAGUGUAUUGAGAAGCAUCUUUCUUAACUCCAUCUAAAAGUUUUGUGGCUGGGGGGGGGAGAGGGGCNUUAUCUAUCACAUUUUGCACAAUACAAAUUCGUUUCAUUAAGUAUUCCCUAAUAUAUUCUAAACAUGUAAUUAUAGGUUUGUCUCGAGCAUCUAACAACUUUGAGAUGAAAACUUCACAUAAAUUAUUCAACAAAAUAUCUGUAUGUGCUCUUCCUGUACAAUGCAACAAAAUAUCUUAUAAGAAUCUGUCAAAGUGUAAAUCUUCCUUGAAUCUGUCAAAGUGUCUAACUGUUGUUGCUGUUGCACAUUCCCAUAAAUGAUCUCUGUGCUCCUUCCCCCUCCAUUGUAGCUUCAUGUUUUCGUGAAUAUGUCUUAAACAGAACCUGUGUUCAGCGCUAGGUAAUAGGUUGGCAAUGGCAGAUAAAAUCCCCUAAUUAACAAGUAACAAAAAUGUUAUUUUCUAAAUGUAGUAGACAAAAUUACAAAGAUGUCAUGAACAAGUAUCAUAAGAAGAUUAACCUUUUGCCUGUCAGAAAUAAAUGUGAAGUUUGAAUUUGUAGAGAGCUCCAAAUCUUCACCUAGACACUCUAGAAACCAACUCCAUGAGCUUUUGUUCUCGGCUUCAACUAUGGCAUAUGCUAGUGGGUAGAUCCGAUUAUUGGAAUCAAGACCCACAACAGUGAGAACCUAUCCAGUGUAAGGUCCCUUCAUGAAAGCCCCAUCGAAACCUAAAAAAUCUCUUAAACCUGCCUUAAAACCCAGUUUUAAUGCACCUAAACAGACAUAAAUUCUCUUAAACAUCCUAGUUUCCAAGUCUGCAUUUGGUUCACUGUAUACAUCAAUCUUCACAAUUGUUCCUGGGUUGCACUGUUGUAAUUCUAAUACGUAAUCCCUGAGAAGGCUGUAUUGCUUUUGAUAAUCUCCAUAAACAUGUUUCUGUGCAAGUUGUUUAGCCCUAAAGACCUUCAUUCUUGACAUCCCCACCUCGUAUAUCUUUUGUAACUCUACACACAAAGCUUUGACUGGGAUAGUUGGGUUUCCUUCCACUUCUUGAAGAAUGAUGGUUGUAAGAAACUUAGGCCUCAUUUGAUAGUUGCCGAUUGAGAAAGUGCUGACUGAGAAAGGUCUGUCUGGGUAAGAAAUCCUGAUUGGGUAAGAAAUCCUGUUGUUUGAUUGUACAUCUGACUGAAUGUGCUGAGUGAUGAAAAAUGACCAUUUUACCCUGCUGUUAUAUAUAUAUAUUGAUGGAUUAAAUUGCUGAAUAAUUAUAAAAACAUACAUAUUGUCAUACAAAAUGUAAAUUACACACAAAUAAAAAAUGUCAUACAAAAUGUAAAUUAAACAUAAAUCAUUUAAUAUCCAAAUAAAAACAUAAUGAAAUUUAAAAUAACAUAAUAAUUUAAUGUAAAGUAGGUGAAAGUAGUCGAUUUGCAAUCUGAUCACGCAAAACACGCAUAUAUUCAACGGCUUCUGGACCCCAUUCUAUGCCUUGUAUGUUUUCUCUAUCAAUUCCCCCACCUUGGACGUCAGGAGUAACCAUAGUGUCCUCCUCAAAAUUUCUAAACAAGUCAUCUUCUAUAUUGUAUUUCCUUAUAAAAUUAUGGACCGCGACACAAGCAAUGACUAUGUCUCUUUGCACUGUAAAAGGAUAAGGAGCCAUUUGUUUUAAGAUUGGGAAUCUCGCCUUCAAUACACCAUAAGCACGCUCAAUAACAUUUCUAAGUUGUGCAUGAGCAUGAUUGAACCUUUCUUCUCUAGUUAAAGGUCUGCCUCUUCGAAAAUCGGCUAACCAAUACCUAGUAUUGCGGUAUGGAGCCAUAAACCCACGAGUGUUUGUAUAUGCGGCAUCACAAAGGUAAUAUUUAUCUGCAAACGAAUGUGACAUAUUAUAUAAUGACACAUAUUAUAUAAAGAAGAUAGAUAAUAAAAAUUAUAUAAAGAUUACAAACCUGGUGGAGGAAAUGGAAAUCCAGAAGUCGAAUUGAAUGCAACUUCUUUCAAAACUCUUGAAUCAUGUGCUAUACCCUCCCAUCCAGCCCAAACAAAGGUGAAUAUCAUAUCAAAAUCACAAAUUCCUAUUACAUUUUGAAAACAUUCUCCUUUUCCUCUUCCUCAAUAACGAGUUUGUUGAUCAACAGGUACAACCGCACGUACAAGAGUUCCAUCUAAUGCACCAAUUGCUCCGGAAAAAAUAUUUUUUAACCGUCUAUGUCGUUCUGAGUUAUGUCUUGUUGGGUUAGGAGUUGUUGGUACUAUAAUUUCUUUUGCAAAACACAUCAUUGCUGUUAGGACCUCGUGAAAACAUUGAUGAAUCGUUUGUGUGGAGUGAUGAAAUCUUCCCUUAACCGCGCGAAAACGUUCAUUAUGUCCUAUAACAUGUAAGAAGAUAGCCAUCUUCUCUUCAAUGCUUAUUGUCCUACUAGCUUGCAACCAAUUUUUUUGGGUAAAAUGGUUGCAUAGUAAUGCAAAUGCCUCUUGUGUAAGACGCAUCAUAUCGAAACAUUGUGUAGGGUCUCCGUAUAUCAAAUCUUAUGUAUACGCAUACCCGCUUGAAUCGUUAUCUCUAAUUCUAAGAAUUCUGAUUAGUCUGCGCCGGUUUGACCUCAACCAAUAAAACACAAGUAAAAGAAAAGCUACAACUUCACCAUCAGAAACCAUACUUGAUCUAUUACAAACAAUUAGGUAAUAUGUUAAAGUAAAAAAAAAAUCAUGCACCAAAAAAAUUAGUAAACAUCAUUAAAAGUAACAAAAGUCGUAUAACAAACGUUGUAUAACAAAAUACUAGUAAACAUCAUCCAAAAAAGUCAUCAAACUAUAUAACAGUAAACCAAAAAGUCAUCAAACAUAGGAUCCAAAAAACUAGUAAACAUCAUCCAAAAAAAGUCAUCAAACAUAGGAUCCAAAAAACUAGUAAACAUCAUAAAAAAAACUAGUAUCCAAACUUUUCUACCCGCACCUAUCAAAGGUAACUAUACUUCCUACCCGCACCCAUCACCCACGACUCACAACUACUAUGCGAAAGUCGUAACCAAACUUUUCGAACAUCAGCACUUUCACCAAAUAGCAAAAGAGCGGUCUUGUGUCUUUCAUCUUCUUCUCCCCAUUCCAUUUUGUUCAAUUUCUCCAUACACGCAUCAACAUCCUUAUCCAUUUCACUUUUUUCAAUUCUUUCAUUUUUUUUCCACUAAUAACCUUACAAUCUUGACAAUCUCCUCUUCAACUUCUAAUGCCCUUGCAUCUCUUUUUUUUCCACCAACUCUUUUGUUUCCACCAACUUCCUUAUUUUUGAACGCCCCGAAGAUUCUUCACUUGCACCUACGUGUUGUGUUGAGGUUUCCAUUAGAACAUCAUCAUCAAAAUCAUGGGGACUAAACUCUUCUACAGGACAAGGGAGUGUAGAAGAUGGCCCCCAACUUUGAGAUCCGGUUGAUGUCAACCCUUCAAAUAGUUGGGUGCAAAGAUCAGGGAACAAUAGGGGUUUAGUUUUCAAUGACAACACGAACUUGUUCAACUGUUUACAAUUUUUAUAAAUAUUAGUAUAUGUUAUAAAAAUAAUCAUAAUAGUAUUGAUUAAAAAAAUAAAUUUAAUCAAAUAGUAUAUGUUAUAAAAAUAAUCAUAAUAGUAUUGAUUAAAAAAAUAUUACCUUCCCCUCUUCUUUCCAUUGUUCAUCGGUCAAAUUAAAUUUAUUUUUUAUAGGAUCAUAUAUAUUGCCGGUUUUGUUUUUGAGUUUCACCCAAGCAACAUACUUUGAUUUGUAGUAGUCAAAGUGGUUUCUCAUUUGCUUCUGAUCAACCUCUUUACCGUGUUCGUUUAUCAAUUUUUCGCGUAUUGUCUUCCAUGAACUUGCCUUAAGCCCAGAACCCUCACGACCAUUAGUGGUUAGUUCAUGGAUACAUGCAUCAAGAAAAGUUUUGUCCUCACUCUCGUUCCAAACCAACAUCCUAAAACAUUAAUAUUUAAAGUAAUUUAUCAUAGUUUUUAUCAAGUUAAAGAACAAUUUUAAACAUAAAGCAAUUUUCAACCAAGGAAGUUAACAUCAUCCUAAAUUAUGAUUUGAUAACUUAUACACAAACAAUUUCAGAUGUCACAAAACAUCAAUAUUCAAGCUAACAAUUUCACAAAAGAUAACAAGCUAACAAUUAAGGUCAACAAUAUCAAAGCUAUAAAAUUAGAAAGAAAAAAAAAACAGCCCAAUUUUUGAUUUUAUAGCUUAUACUUUUGAUACUAAUACAAGCUCAAUAAUUGGAAGACAUGUGAUGUUGCAUGCAUUCCCCCUCUCGCCCACUCUUCAAGGAACAAUUGGAUUAUUAAAAAAGUUAGGUUACCAUUAAUCUUAUAAUAAUUAUUUAUUAUUAAUUUUACUUUUGUACUUUACACAUAAAAACACAACNAAAACCAAAAAAAUAAAAAAAAAAAAAAAAAAAAAAAAACAGCCCAAUUUUUGAUUUACAAACCUACUUGUAUUUUCCAAUUCACAUUCAAUUUCAAUUCACAAGCUAUAAAAUCAAAAUUCAAAAAAAAAACCUUCCAAUUCACUUUCAAUUUCAAUUCAUAAGCUAUAAAAUAUGAACCGGAGAAAAAAACUUCCAAUGUGAAUUGGAGAAAAAAACUUCAAAUUCAGAAAAAAAAACAAAAAAACAAAAACAAAAAACAACUACCAAUUCACAUUCUAUUUUAGAAUUCAUAACAUUAGAAAAAAAAACCUUCAAUUUUCAGUUCUUAUACACAAAGAACUACAAAACAAAACAUAAACAAACUUCCAAUUCACAUAUAAUUUCGAAAUUCAUAUAUUAGAACAAACAAUUUCAGAUUUCAGUUCUUGUACACAAAGAACUACAAAAAAGAACAAAAAAAGCUUAUCAUAUGAACAUACAGGUUGAGAAUUCAUAAUAUUCUAACAUAUACUAAUUUGAUUUCAUAAAGAACUACAAAUUUCAUACCAUCAAAGCAUAAAUGGUAUCUGAUUUUGAAAAUUAUUAACAGAAAAAUUAUCUAACCUGUGUGAUGGAUCGAGAAGGCGUCACUGAUGGCGGUGGCGGAGGUCCGACGAGAUGGCACAGGUCCGACUGGUCGGACUGUUUGGCGUUCAAUGUUGUGGAGUUCUUCCUAGCGGCUGCUGUGCUUUUAGGUCACUAGAAGGGAAGCGAAUGGGGAAAGAAAUAAUAACGACGCAGGGGCAAGAUAAGGGCAAGAUUGUCUAAUUUCCAGUCAGCAACUGUUUAAAAACUGAUCCAGAAAGCGAUUUGGGUCAGCAGAUCUUACCGAGAAAGCUCAAAUCAAACACCAAAGGUCUGACCGAGUCAGCCCAAUUUGCUGACUCGACCCAGUCAGACAUUUAUCAAACACUCCCUUAGAAGUGCACUCUUUAAUAGACCUUGACUGCACACAUCUAUGCUCAUGAACCAAAGUUUUCACCAUCCAAUCGCUUUCUUCAUCAGAUCUAGAAAUUAAUACCACCCAAGGGCAUGUUGCUUUUUGUGAGCUGACUGUUUUAUCCUUGCAUUUGAUUCUACUUUUUGUCCAUGGCCCACCUGUCAUUUUCGGGACCACACCCCUGCAUUUUGCCCUAAUUCUUUUUUUUUUAUCAUUUUUUGAAAAGUAAAUGUUUCUCCUAGUUCGAAUUGAAUGCAUUUUAAUGUAGUCCUUCACUUCUGAUGAGGACUUAAAUAUUUGACCCAGAUGGAAUGCAGUUUCAUGUACUACUCCUGAUGAACAUGUGGUUGGUUUGUUUAACCUUCUCAUUAAUUUCUUCCUCUCAUCUUCUUCUACACCAGUUGAUUCAAAUAAUUGUGUAUCUAUCACCUCCAAAUCCUCAUCAACUGUGACAUCAGGUGCAUUGAAUGAUUGGUGGUUAUCUAGAUUUGGAAAAGAAUAAACACCACUGUGGAAGUCUUUCAUAUUCACUUCGACAUCCUCCACCAUAUUAAGUUCAUCCACUAAAAAGUCACUAUCGUCGCUUAUACUUCCAUCGGUACUAGUCUCAUCACUAAUAACAUCUCCAAUUUCUUCAUUUUCCCCCAUCUGUUGGUAAUCAUUAUGAUCCAUAUAAAAGAAAGGAUCAAAGUCUUCUGAAGGGACAACAUCUUGGGCUUUGUUAAGCUCCUCACUUGCAGGAUGAACUCGAACAUCUUUCACUACAUCUCUAUCAAAAUGUCCAAAAGGUACAACAGACCUAGAAAAGUCAUAGUUCUCAUUCAAGUCCAUUUUUCUACUACAUGAUCCUACCUUUGUACUUGUAAACUUUUUUCGAUUGAGUUCCGGAGAAAUAGGCUCAUUGAUUUCUUCCGAUACGACCUUAUUUGGAGAUAUAAAGUAUGCAUGGAGUCUAGUAGUUCCAUGUUCAGUAUACACCAUAAUCUCUUUAUGAUUAGCAACAUGCUUACUUAACAAAAGUACGUCUGAGUUGUUACCUAAAGGAAGUAACCCAUAAUCGAUUUCAAUCUCAGGAAUCAAGAAGUGGUAGUAGAUAGGCUCACCGUUGAUAUAACCUAUCUCCUUCAUCAUAUCGUCUAACUCAUGUACGGAAAACACGUCCAUGUCUACGUAGUCAACAUAGUCAAUACUCCCACCAACGUAACGUCUUCCUGGGUAUUUUGUGAACAUACCCCCAUGGUGAAUCUUGAAUGUGCAAAAACUACUUAACUCAACUGAAAAACAAAUAAAUAAUGAUAUGAGGAAAGAAUGAAGUCUCAAAAUUGAAUGUGCAUAAAUUACUUAACAAAAUUGAAAGUUGUUAACUGAUCACUCACCAUAAGCUUUGAUCAGGUCAGGAUUUUCUGAGAAUUUUGAACGGACAUUCCACAAAGUUAGAACGAUCGCAAAAGAUGAAAAUGAAAACCCUAGUUUCCGUUUGAUGUUUUGAAGUGAUGAAGAUGAAAAACCAGAGGAGAAAAGAAAGGGAUGAUUUCUUGGGGUAAUGUAAAUGGCAGCUAGAUGUAAGGAUCAUUUAUGAAUAUGAUCAUUUCGUGUAACAAAGCAAAAGACCAAAAUACCCUCGUGUGAGGGUCACGUGAUUUAGAUAAACGGAAACAAUUAAACGGAGUAUGUCAUAAGGACUAUUCGUGCAACAAUUUGGAACCAUAGGGACCAUACUCGUCCAAAAUUCCUCAUAAGGACUAUCUUUGGUCUCUUGUGCCAACCACAGGGACCAUCUGUGUAAUUUUGUCUUUUUUUAAAGAUAGUUCAUAAUUUUUCUAUUAUAUACAUUGUAAAUGAAAUUGAGAACUUAAGUAGGUCCUAGGACCUACCUAAGCACAUGGUGGAUACGCCCCUGUUACCCACACUAACCUCAUACACUUACAACACAAAUGAACUUGAACGGUCUAAGACCAAACCAAGAUAUAAUAUGAAAUGUGUAAGUAUAGUUUAAUAGAUGAAAGUGAGGUGUUGUUUGGGCUUGAAAAGUAGGGGUGAGCAUGGUGCGAUUUUUUGAGAAAACCGAACCGCAAACCGCAAGAUGCGGUUUCUAUAGGGUAAAACCGAUAGGUGUGGUUUUUGUUUCGGCGUGGUUUUACAUGCAUUUUCGGUGUCAUUCGAUGCGGUUUCGGUUUUUAACUGAAAAUAUGUGUUGGUGUGAUUUUUCAUACAUGUGUUGAUCUACCAAAGAAGUAAUAACCCCUAAAGAAGCUAGAGCAAGGCCUAAUUGAAAAUGAAGCCAAUUAUUAAUUGUGUCAUAAAGACCCUCAUGCCCACGUCUCAAUCGCCCUCUUGGAGGGAUAUGUGCAUCUAAAAGAUCUUUCAUACUGUGCCCAAUCCCAAAAUUAGUUCUAUACAUAUGCCCAACAAUAAGAAAAAGAAAUGCAAUAGCUAAAUAAUGAUGAGUCAUAUCAGCAUGUCCAAACCCGACUUUUCAGUUAACUUUCCUUUAUUUCCGGUACAGAUUCUCAUUUAAAUGUAUUUAACAUGCUUGUGAAAUAGUUAUAUGUUAUUCUUAUCAAAAUAUAGACUUCUUUAUGAUAUUACGAUUUUGAGAUUUGAAUUAUAUGUUUGAUGCAACAAGGGAUUUGGUUUUAUAAUCUCAAAUUCCAUUACUUAAUCAUUAUUGUUUAUACAGAUAGAGGCGGCUUUUGAUUCGAAUUGCAUUUUGCUUGUGAUAAGCAAAAGGAAAAUUGUUAAUGGUACGCACUUUGAUACAAAUGUCAAAUUUUAUAAAAAUAUAGCAAAACAUAAGGCAUGCACAGUGGCAAAAAGAACUGAAGAGGUCGAAGUUGAACAAAAUAUACUUUUAUUAAUAAGUAUUAUAAUAUAUUAAAUAUUGUCAGGUUUUUAUGGUGCUGUUUGGCAUUGUCCAAACCGCACCACACCGAAAAAUUACCAAUUAAGGUUGGAUUGGAAUGCAUAAUUAUCAAUUUAUCCUUAAUAAGUCAUAAAUCAACAAAAAUGGCCCAACAAUUUUCUUAAUCUUAAUUGUUGCCUUUGGAUUAGAAAUCAUCAACGAUCAAGAUUGGUUCUCACAAUUCUCUAAUCUCUACUUUUAUGUUGUUUUCAUUUGAACUCAACCCAAAAAUCUCACCAGUAAUCACCACACGAACAAAUCCCGUUCUUGAAAUGAUGAAACCUAUUUGUAUCCCGAAGAAUAAUUUCCCGCUCAACAAUCUUGGAAAUAAGCUUAGCAGCAAUAUGACAAUCCUCACAAACACGUAGAUUUUUAGUAAUCCGUAUAGGCGUAAAAGCUUUAGUAUUUAUAAUCACAAACACAAUAGCAAGCUUCUCACUAUGAACAGCAAGAUGAUUUCCUUUAUCUUCAUCUUCUAUAUCAUGAAGUGCAGAAUCCACUUCAGGAACAUACCCAAAAUCCCUCAUCUUCCCCACAAGUACUUCCAACUCUUGAUAAAUCUGUUUAGAUUGUGGAUGGGAUUGAUCUCCAGCAAGAAACGAAUGAACUUGAUUAUUAAGCUCAACAUUACUAACACCGGGCUCUUUUUUCACUCCUUUUGAUUUCAUUAUUGAACGAAUAUUUGUCACAUCUUUAAAUCUACCUGCUUUUGCGUAUAUAUUUGAUAAUAAAACAUAAUACCCUGCUUGUUCAGGGACCAAUUCAAAGAGAUGAUCUGCUGCUACAAGACCAAUUUCCAUGUUGGAAUGAACUUUACAAGCACUUAACAAAGCACCCCAGAUUCUAUCGUUUGGUUUUGUUUUCAUUUUCUUUAUAAAAUCAUAAGCUUCAUUGAUUCUUCCUGAUCUUCCUAGCAAAUCAACCAUGCACGCCAAGUGUUCGAGUCUUGGAAUGAUGUUAUACUCUUCGGUCAUCAAUUUGAAGAAAUGUUUUCCUUGGUUUAGUAAUCCGGCAUGGCUGCAGGCUGAUAGAACUGGAACGAAGGAAAUGGAAUCAGGGGCGAUUCCGGAAUUUUGCAUAUUUGAAAAGACUGUGAUAGCAGUUUCACCAUCUCCAGUCAUGCCAUAAGCAGAGACCAUGGAAGUCCAGGAGACGACAUCUCUUGUUGGCAUUUCAUCGAACACCUUGCGUGCUUCGUUUAAAGACCCACAUUUAGCAUACAUGUCAAUCAAGGCGUUCUCUACUGUUAGAUUAGGAAGAAGCCUUUUUGUUUUUACAUAUGAAUGAAUCUUUCUUCCUAGUAAUAAAGCUGAAAGAUCUCCACAAGCGGGUAGGAUGCUAGCAACUGUGAUUGAAUCCGGGUCGAUUCCGUAAUUCUCCAUUUGUUGAUAAAGAUUAACUGCAUCUUUAGGCAUCGAGUUGUUGACGUACACAGCUAUCAUGACAUUCCAAGAAAUUAAACUCUCUCGAGCGUGAUUCAUGAACAUUUCUUUCAUAAACAUCACGUUGGUAGAUGAAGUAGAAGUUGUUAAAGCAGGGGAAAGGCUGGCCAUGGUGCCUGCGUUGGGUUUUGAGGUAGAACAUUGCAUCAUUGUCUUACAAAUCUCCAAUGCAUCUUCAAACAUCCGGUUUUGGGCGUAGGCAGCAACCAUAGCAUUCCAGGAGACGAUAUCUCUACUAGGCAUUUCAUCAAACACCUGGCGUCCUUCCAGUAACCGGUUACAUUUUCCAUACAUUGUAAUCAAUCCAUUCCCUACAUAAAGAUUUGAAUGCAGACCCUUCUUGAGAACAGCAACAUGGGUUUGUAAUCCGACCCACAAAUUCUCAGACACGGAACAUGCUUUUAGAACUUGAGGAACUGUAAAAUGAUCAGGGUUAAUGUUGAACUUGAACAUGUUUCUGUACAUACGAAGUGCUUUUUCGUAGAAUUCAUUGUUUACGUAGCUUCUAAUCAUCACAUUGAAGAAGACUACAUCUUUUUGAGGAAAUUCAUCAAACAGUUGGCGGGUAACUGCGAUUUGGCGACAUUCAGAAUAAGCUUUCAUUAAUUUCAGAGCAAUAUGCGAUGCUGAGACGAGGUUUCCAUCAAUAAUUAACCUACAAUGUAUCUUUUUCAAUUGUUUGAUAUCUGGGCACUUGUCCAAGAUUUUGAUACACAAGUCUUCUGUGAUUAACAUGAUUGUUAAGGCGAGAUUUGAAUGAAUUUGAACUUAUAUUCCUUUCGCCAUGUUGUACCUGAGGGGCAAUCAAAUAGAAUGGACGAAGAUAACGAAGGUUUACUUGGUGGUGUUCACUUAAAAACAAGAAAUAUGAAGUUCUAAACGCUAUUUCUUGUUAAACAGAAAAUAUUUUGUCCAAUCUAAAAAUCCAAUUUUUGAGUAAGUUCAAGCUUAAGCUCAAAAAUAGUAAGCAAAACAUGUUUAAAAAAUAAAAGUUCGUUUGAAACUCUUUGGAUAGCUCGAGUAUAACAAUCAUCAUAAUUAUAGUCAAUAAAUCAGGCUCAAACAACCAAACUUGAUGUCCAGCCCUUGAUCAUCCAAUUGCCAACUGAAAUCAACUUAGUUUCCGGUUUUAGAAUCGCCCUAACAUUACAUAAGCACCAACUAGUUCCAAAAGUAGUUUUUAAUUCAAUGUCUCCCAUACCCGUGACUUCAAGGGUUUCCAUGUUACCCAACCUUACCAACUUAAGAUAAGUUCUUUACUUCAAUUACUAUAACAGAUCGAUGAGUCAUGUUCUAAUGACCUCUCGUCAUAUGAUGCAAUGCUUAGACUCGAGUCUUUUAAAGUCAAAUUCUAUAAUGAAAUAUACAUUCCUUCAAGUUUCUAAUGUGAUAUAAUCACAUUCUAGCAUGUAUCACUUCUAGCUACAAGCUUCUUACUUUAACAACAAUCACAAUACUUCUAUUGAUCGCUUUGAUUAUCUUUCAGUUCAAUCUUCUGGCUUAAGUCAGAUGCUACAUCGAUCUUGGUUCUCUGAACCACGUACAAUACUUAUCCUAGCUGUAAUCGAUUUGAUAUGACCACUAGGGUCGGAAUAACAAUCAUCUUCUUAGUCAUUACCGAAAUUAUGGUAAUGACACAUGAACAAAACAGAAUCAAUUACUAGCGUCUUGGUAACUCGUGACUUUCCCUGAUCCAAGUGCGAGUCGUGUGCUUCCAGUAGUAUAUGCCUCUACUACCUUUCACACCUACUCAUACUUGUCCCAAGUAUUGUCUUUCAGUUCUCCAAGUCACCAUAAAAGAAUUUCACAUAGUCAUUUAACACAUCGAAUAACAAAACUAAGGUUUAUAUUAUUUCUUGAAACGAUUACAUAGAUAUUCAAGUUCACCUUAUACCAUGCCUUUUAUAUUAGGCUACACCACAUGAUACUAUCUAUAUGGCUACUUUAUAUCUCGAUCUUCAGAUAUAUAUAGAUCCCUACUCCUAAUCCCUUGUAUCGUCACCUGCUUCAUCCAGGUUAGACUUCGAGAAUCUUCCUUUCUUAUCGAAUCUUGAGGAUCCCUCAAGCUUCUUCUUUUCUCAUGCCUUGUCUUAUUCCAGACCCUUUUUCCUAAAUUAGGUUUCCAUAUUCUUGGUUGCUCUAACGGUUGUCUUCAAAGUAGUUGCCAUUUUUACCAUUGCGCCAAAUUAUGCUGGCAAUCCGUUAGCAAAACUAUCUAUCUUGGAGAGUUCAGUAGCACCAAGUAGGGGAAUAACUUCAUCUGCUCGGUGAAUACGGUGACAUACUCAUCAACACUCAUCUUCCUUUUCUUCAAGUUCGAAACUCGUUGUUUAGGUCUAUCAGAUCUAUCUCUGAGCAGUAUUGCAUUUUCAACUGCUCCAUGAAUGCUUCCCACCUCAGGGCUUCUCCCCCAUGGCUUUGUAUCUGCCAAUAACUUCCACCAACUUAAAACUCUGGUCUUUAGUUGUCUGACUGUAAAGACGGUUUUCUGCUUGUUGCUGCAAUUGCAACUUUCAAAUGUCAUCUCUAUCUCGGAGAUCCAAUCCAUGAUCUCUACUGGCUUCGGGCUUCCAGAAAGACUUGGUGGUUUGGCACCUAAGAAGUUCUUAUACAUACGUUCAUCCUUAUCAAUCGCUUUUUUCGGGUCGUUCCUCCUUGCCACUCGGGGUUCAGCUUGACUCACUGUACGACUGUAAUUUCCCUCCUCCGACAAUUCUUCAUUCAGUUCGGGUUGCACGAUAGGCACAAUAGGUUCAUCCCUAUUAUCAAGAAACAUUUUUCUCAUCUCCUCCCUUUGUUCGGCCAUCAUAGCCCAAAUCAUUGCUUAGACUCUUGCCAUCGUGAUUGGCUCGGGUGCAGCUACUACCUCUGGUGCACAUUUAAUCACUCGUGGUUCAGGCUGUUAGUUUUCAUUAGCAUUUUCUAAUAUGUUGCGAGUUCUCACCAUUUCGAUCUAUACACUCUAGAGAUGUUCAGUGUACAGUGACGAGAAUUAAGAUAUGGAAAGCUUUAUUUACGACAGCCAUAUAAAUCUUCUUAUCACUCGUAAAAGUUAUAUACUAGUUCUAAUACCGUAAUUAAAUGUUUGGAAAUUUUGAGCAAAUGACGGUUCAUCAACAAUAGAGCGAAUCUCAUUUAGGAAUUCGUUGAUAGGUCGAUUUCCUUUAGGAUUUUUAGCAAGUUUGGAUUUUAAAGAGAUGAUUCUUGAGCAGGAGGUGCUGGCAUAGCUUGUGUUGAGAUGCUUUCAUGCUUCUUUUGUGGUAAAUACAGAGGUAAUGAUAGGUUGAAUGAAUUGCAUCUGAGCAUGAACCAAGAAUUGCAUCGAAUACUACAUGAUCUUGGCGAUAGCAAGUCGUGUAUUCAUGAUUAGGUUUGGAUUUGUCUUUGUCGAUAAUGAAUUUUGUGGUAGGAUCAGUCACCCAUGUGAUGUAAUCUUCCAGACCUAGUCCAAUAAAUGUGGACUGCACUUGUCGCCUCCAUACAUGGAAGUUGUUGGUGAGUAAUUUGGUAGGAAAGUGACUUGAGGCGGUGAUUUGUAUUUGGGAUGAUUGUGUCAUGGUGAUGUUGAUGAAAAGGAUUAGAGGAGAAAGGCAAGAUGAUCGAUUGACUCUUUAGAGUGUGUGUGCUCUGAUACGAUAUGAGAUUUGAGAAUCAAUGGGCUCGAAUGAAUAAUUUCAUUUACAAAGAUCGAUACAUAUAUAGAUGGUAACGAGAGUUAAAGAGCUAUACAUGGAAUUUACUAAGAAUAGAUUGCAAUUACAUACAAAUAGAAGAGAUUAUUGUAGAUUAGUCAUGAAGAUGUGUACGAUGUUAUAGUUAGAUUGCUUAUUUGCAAUCCAUGUUAGCUAAGUAUGUCAUGUUGAAUACAAAUUGUAUUAAAACAUUAAAGUUCCAACCAUUAUAUGUUGAAGAAGAAGCAAAUACGCCUUAGUCACACCCAUUCUAAAUGAUAUGGAUGUUAUGGUUGUCGUUUCUAUGCAACCAAAUCGUGAUUCCAAGUUGCAGUUGUCUUACCAAUAUAUCAUGUUAGGAAAAGAUGACAUAGCAUGAAAUAUUGUAUGUUACAACAAAAAGAUAUAUCUUAUAGAUGUCUUGCACAUGGGUUAUUCCUUUUUAAGCACUUAUAUAAAAAUAAUAUCACGUAUGUAUGAUAUCUAUUUUGAGAGAUUUUUAGCAAGCAACUCUUUGUCUAUUAUUGUUAUUGGAUAGAAAAAGUAUCAUCUUCGUUGGGAAGAUUUUACUAGGAUUAGAUUCAUAAUAGUUUGUCAAAGAUUUUACUAUUAUGUAUUUAUAAACCCAUGAAGUUUUCUAUUAAAUAAAUAAAUAAAUAACCAUUCACCAUUUAUAUCUUUUUGGAAUAGAGUUUGUUAAAUUCUAAUAUAAAUAAAAAGAGUAUUUAUUUAGAUUCACACAUUACAAAAUUACAAACUCCAAGCAUAAAUCCGAAACUUAUUUUUAAACUUCUUCAUUUAUAUUACAAGUUUUAUUCUUUUUUCCCAACCCACUUGGGGUUUCGAAACCCUAAAAAAGUUCUAUCCAUGGAAGUUCAUAUUUAUUUCUUAUCUUAAUGAAUUUAAGGUCUAAAUCAAUAAAUGGCAAUGUAGAAUUAACCGCAUAUAUUAAGUUAUUUUUGGAAGCUUUCCAACACAACACAGAAAGGAAAUGAUGAGAAUUUAUGGUACCAAAUAACAAAAUAAUCCCGGUUCCUAUAAAAAUUUAUUAAAGCUCUACUCAUGAUUUCAUAAUCUCCUCUAAUAUGAGGGUUACGUUAUUGUAAUAAUAACUAUGAUAAUGUAAAAGCCAUAACAUAAAUCGUCUUAAUUUAAGAAAUAAUAUAAAUCCCAAGAUAUUGUUUUUAAAAUAAAAAGGAAAAAAGUGGGAGUCCAUUAGAAGGAGCCAAGCUGAUUAUUUGAGCCAAGAGAGCACCGAUUUGUUAUCCUUCCACUGUUCGAAGCGAGAGGUUAUCGCAGCUCUGUGAAGCCAGCCUAACGCAUUGCCCUCUGCUCUAGGAACCAAGAAGCCCAAGCCUUCGCUCAAGCCACUUGAUCCAACUCCGAACUUGGAACGGGCAAACCAGAUUUUGCAACAGCUUUGACCCAACCAAACAAGGCUCGAUCUCAGUCCAUCCCACUUUAGAGCCCUCACUUGAGUCACAAGCUCGCGUUACCAAGCUCGGCGAUAAACGAAGUCCAUUUGAUGUAUAAAUAAUCGGAAAAACUUUCUCCUCCAAGCGAUGUGGGAUGCGAAACGAAAUAUUUUCAUCUUCAUUCUCUCUUUAUCUCUGUCAAAUACUGUGAUUACUGAUUACUGACUACUUAAACACCCAUGCAACGGAUUUCAAGUAUUUUUUUCAAUCCAUGGAUUUAGAACUGUAAACU